rnacentral:rRNA from 1 species
CGUCUAGGUGGGGGUGUAAGUCAGACGUGAAAUCCCGGAGCUCAACUCCGGAACUGCGUUUGAAACUACAUCUCUUGAGGGUAGGCGGGGGAAACGGAAUUCCACGUGUAGCGGUGAAAUGCGUAGAUAUGUGGAAGAACACCGGUGGCGAAGGCGGUUUCCUAGCUUAUUCCUGACACUGAAGCGCGAAAGCAAGGGGAGCGAACA